AGUCAACUGACAUAAUUCUCCCAGGUAAGUAAUUGCUUGAGGAAAUAGUGUGGCAAUGUGAUUUUGACUUUAAUUUGUUCAAAUAUUAUACCUUAAGUUGUUGAUUAUACAUUUUUAAACUAGCUAAACUUAUUGGUUGUGAUUCAUAUGCUACCUAACACGUGUUCAUGUAUGCAUGUUGAUCUAGUGAUGCAAAUUUCACAUGAAAUUGUCAUCUUGGAUUUGUGAAGAGAAAAUUAAAGAUGAAAAUUUUGUGUGAAGUAGAAUCAUUUCAGCUGCUCUGAGCAUGACAAGUUUUAAUAUGUUAUUCUAAACUAAAUCCAACAUUUUAUAUUCUCAUGGUAUGACUGGACUUCGGUAGAAGAUUGGAGAAUGGCUAGGUUUGUUUAUUCAAAAUUUACUAGUCAGUCAAUAAAUCAAAUAGAAGCUGUUGUCUUGCUAAUCUUUUCAUGUUCCCUUUCUCUUGCAUUUGUCCUUUGGGCUUACCUUGUCUUUGAUAAGCAACCAACUGAUCUAAAGGUAGGUCUAGAAGCUAAAGCCUUUCAAGAGUGACAUGCGUUUUAAGUUGGUCCUCUAUCACAAUAAUGAUCUCUCAGCAAUAGUUUAAAUUUGGUGAGAAUGAUUUUUAGUGCUCCUUUGUUGGCAAGUGGAAAUAAAAAUAUGCAUUUUUUGGUCAUUUUCCUUAUUGGUGGUCUUCUUCCUUUUUCCUAUGCUUUGCUUUCUCAAGUUCCACUUUAUAACUCAUAUGACUUCACUAAAUUGCUUAUACUUGACAAAAAUAUAAUAUUUGUUUGCAAGAAUGGUGCAUAAAUUUUAAUUUGGUGGCCUCAUGAUGAUUAAUUCUUACCACCAAGGUGUUUUGGUUUACUGAGCAUGAUUUUUAGUAGUCAUCUAUAAGAAAGUGUUAUCAUAGUGCCUAUCUCCACCUCAGUUAAUAAAAGUGUGCAUGGCUUUUGUUAUAAGAUAUUGAUAAAAUGGACUGGGCCUAACUCCACUCUACCCCAAAAGGCACUUAGUGAGGGAAGGAUUACCUAAA
rnacentral:misc_RNA from 1 species